AGCAGUAGCCGCGGGAAUACGAAGGGUGCAAGCGUUAAUCGGAAUUACUGGGCGUAAAGCGUGCGUAGGUGGUGGUUUAAGUCCGUUGUGAAAGCCCUGGGCUCAACCUGGGAAUUGCAGUGGAUACUGGAUCACUAGAGUGUGGUAGAGGAUAGUGGAAUUUCCGGUGUAGCAGUGAAAUGCGUAGAGAUCGGAAGGAACAUCUGUGGCGAAGGCGACUAUCUGGGCCAACACUGACACUGAGGCACGAAAGCGUGGGGAGCAAACAGGAUUAGAUACCCCGGUAGUCCCUGUCUCUUAUAC
rnacentral:rRNA from 1 species